ACGCUCGACACCUACGGAGGCAGCAGUGAGGAAUAUUGGUCAAUGGACGCAAGUCUGAACCAGCCGUGCCGCGUGCAGGAUGACGGCUCUAUGAGUUGUAAACUGCUUUUGUACGAGGGUAAACGCAGAUACGUGUAUCUGUCUGAAAGUAUCGUACGAAUAAGGAUCGGCUAACUCCGUGCUAGCAGCCGCGGUAAUCUGAGCGGGCUGGCAAGGC
rnacentral:rRNA from 1 species